UACGAAGGGGGCUAGCGUUGCUCGGAAUCACUGGGCGUAAAGCGCACGUAGGCGGCUUUCUAAGUCAGGGGUGAAAUCCUGGAGCUCAACUCCAGAACUGCCUUUGAUACUGGAGACUUGAGUUCCGGGAAGAGGUGAGUGGAACUGCGAGUGUAGAGGUGAAAUUCGUAGAUAUUCGCAAGAACACCAGUGGCGAAGGCGGCUCACUGGC
rnacentral:rRNA from 1 species